UACGAAGGGGGCUAGCGUUGCUCGGAAUUACUGGGCGUAAAGCGCGCGUAGGCGGGUCGUUAAGUCGGGGGUGAAAUCCUGGAGCUCAACUCCAGAACUGCCUUCGAUACUGGCGAUCUUGAGUCCGGGAGAGGUGAGUGGAACUCCGAGUGUAGAGGUGAAAUUCGUAGAUAUUCGGAGGAACACCAGUGGCGAAGGCGGCUCACUGGCUCGGUACUGACGCUGAGGUGCGAAAGCGUGGGGAGCAAACAGG
rnacentral:rRNA from 1 species